rnacentral:lncRNA from 1 species
GCAGAAUACAGAAGAGAUAGAGGAUAAAAAAACUAUUGGUAUUGGUAAUUAUAUCAGUACCACAAUAUGGCUGCCUGUGAUCUGUGUACUUCUAUUACUCUCACUGAUGUCAAAUGUGUGUAUGUGCUGGAGAAUAAAAAGACAAAAAAAAGAAAACUUAAAGGAAUCAAAGACAUUACAUAAAAGUACACAGGACGAGCAGGAGAAUGAAGCUGAUGGAAUUUCAUAUGCAUCUGUAAAUAUAAAUAAAACACAAAGAAACAGAGGACAACAUCAUCCCACACAGGACACAGUAUAUGCAAGCAUUAAAUGAAAAGAAAUGCAUUUGUACAAAAUAAAUAAAAACUGCAUAACAAAGGCUGGAUAUAACAUGUUUUAUUAUCUGGUACUUCAGUAUACAAAUGACAGAGGAAC